rnacentral:antisense_RNA from 1 species
GUUCUCCUUCCUGUGUCAAGUGUGGUUUGCUACCAAGUGGUGGCAGUUCCGCCACAAUCAGGGGCAGUGGGAGGGAGAGGCCCCCCGAAGGGGCAGAGGCCCUGCCUCGGCCGCCCUGAGCCUGGAAGGUGAUUGGCUAGAGCGACCCUCGGCCGGGAGCAGGAUGAAUGGUGGGGACCGGGGCCUCUGGGUGGUGCGAGCAUCAUGUUGCCUUUUAAUAUGGAGCAUGUGCCAUAGCGCUCCAGGAGAACCCCUCUGUGUCACAGCGAACCUCAGUCACUGACACUCAAAAGAAGGAAUUAUUUCAACUCAAUAAUAAACAAAUAACCCUAUUUUAAAAUCAGCAAA